CUCCUAGAUGUUCUGGGCCGCACGCGCGCUACACUGAACAGUUCAACAAGUCUUAACCUUGGCCGAUAGGUCUGGGUAAUCUUUGAACGCUGUUCGUGAUUGGGAUAGACCUUUGCAAUUAUGGGUCUUCAACGAGGAAUUCCUAGUAAACGCAAGUCAUCAGCUUGCAUUGAUUACGUCCCUGCCCUUUGUACACACCGCCCGUCGCUACUACCGAUUGAAUGAUUUAGUGAGGACUUCGGACUGGGACCGAUGCGGCUUUCGGGCUGCGUCGGUAUUCUGGAAAGAUGUCCAAACUGUAUCAUUUAGAGGAAGUAAAANUCGUAACA
rnacentral:rRNA from 1 species